rnacentral:rRNA from 1 species
GACGAACGCUGGCGGCGUGCUUAACACAUGCAAGUCGAGCGGUAAGGCCCUUUCGGGGGUACACGAGCGGCGAACGGGUGAGUAACACGUGGGUGACCUGCCCUCAGCUCUGGGAUAAGCCUGGGAAACUGGGUCUAAUACCGGAUAUGACUCCAUGACGCAUGUUGUGGGGUGGAAAGCCUUGUGCGGCUGAGGAUGGGCCCGCGGCCUAUCAGCUUGUUGGUGGGGUGANGGCCUACCAAGGCGACGACGGGUAGCCGGCCUGAGAGGGCGACCGGCCACACUGGGACUGAGACACGGCCCAGACUUCUACGGGAGGCAGCAGUGGGGAAUCUUGCGCAAUGGGCGAAAGCCUGACGCAGCGACGCCGCGUGAGGGAUGACGGCCUGG